CCUACGGGAGGCAGCAGUGAGGAAUAUUGGUCAAUGGGCGCGAGCCUGAACCAGCCAAGUAGCGUGAAGGAUGACUGCCCUACGGGUUGUAAACUUCUUUUGUAAAGGAAUAAAGUGAGGCACGUGUGCCUUUUUGUAUGUUCUUUAUGAAUAAGGAACGGCUAACUCCGUGCCAGGAGCCGCGGUAAUAAGGGGGAUCCGAGCGUUAGCCGGAUUUAUUGGGGUUAAAGGGAGCGUAGAUGGGUUGUUAAGUCAGUUGUGAAAGGUUGCGGCUCAACCGUAAAAUUGCAGUUGAUACUGGCAGUCUUGAGUACAGGUGAGGUAGGCGGAAUUCGUGGUGUAGCGGUGAAAUGCUUAGAUAUCACGAAGAACUCCGAUUGCGAAGGCAGCUUACUAAACUGCCACUGACAUUGAUGCUCGAAAGUGUGGGUAUCAAACAGGAUUAGAUACCCUAGUAGUC
rnacentral:rRNA from 1 species